ACGCUGGCGGCGUGCUUAACACAUGCAAGUCGAGCGAUGAAACACCUUCGGGUGUGAAUUAGCGGCGAACGGGUGAGGAACACGUGAGAAAUCUGCCUUCAACACUGGGAUAACUCCGGGAAACCGGGGCUAAUACCGGAUAUGAAAUCUGCGGGCAUCCGCGGAUUUGGAAAGUUUUUCGGUUGAAGAUGAUCUCGCGGCCUAUCAGCUUGUUGGUGAGGUAAUGGCUCACCAAGGCGACGACGGGUAGCCGGCCUGAGAGGGCGACCGGCCACACUGGGACUGAGACACGGCCCAGACUCCUACGGGAGGCAGCAGUGGGGAAUAUUGGGCAAUGGAGGAAACUCUGACCCAGCGACGCCGCGUGCGGGAUGAAGGCCUUCGGGUUGUAAACCGCUUUCAGCAGGGAAGAAGCGAAAGUGACGGUACCUGCAGAAGAAGCACCGGCUAACUAUGUGCCAGCAGCCGCGGUAAUACAUAGGGUGCAAGCGUUGUCCGGAAUUAUUGGGCGUAAAGAGCUCGUAGGUGGUUCGUCACGUCGGAUGUGAAACUCUGGGGCUUAACCCCAGACCUGCAUUCGAUACGGGCGAGCUUGAGUAUGGUAGGGGAGUCUGGAAUUCCUGGUGUAGCGGUGGAAUGCGCAGAUAUCAGGAGGAACACCAAUGGCGAAGGCAGGACUCUGGGCCAUUCUGACACUGAGGAGCGAAGCGUGGGGAGCGAACAGGAUUAGAUACCCUGGUAGUCCACGCCGUAAACGGUG
rnacentral:rRNA from 1 species